UAAUGGUCACCGUUUUUCUCUCUUAUUUCUUUUAUUUAUUACUCUCUUAAACCUAGUUUACUUAAGUCUUUUUGUCUUCCUCUCACUUCCUCUCUUGCCGCACACAGACACUCCAUCGACAUCAUCAAUCUCACACACACUUCUUCCUCUCCUUCCUCUUCUUCCUCUUCUUCCUCUUCUUCUCCAUCGACACCUCUUCCUCUCCUUCCUCUCCUUCCUCUUCUUCCUCUUCUUCCUCUUCUUCUCCGUCGAUUCAUAGAUCGGAGCUCUUUUGCUAGACUUGGCACUCUCUCUGAUCCAUAUUCCCAGAUCUUUAAACCUAUUUCUUGUGGGGAAGUUCUUCAGAUUGAUUGAGUCUUUUUCCCUUUCGAUCUUCAUUUGGAUCUUCCUACGAAUCUUAGGGUUUUGGUAUCAGAUCUUAGUUUUGUUUCGUUACUUUUAUUUUUAUUUUUCUUGUUGACUAGUUAUUGAAUUUGUGUUUUCUUAUUCUCGUUUUGUCCUCUCUUUUUCUUUGUGCAUAUUUUGAUUGUUUCAGAUAUGAAAACCCGAAGUAAGAAACGGGUGGAAGAUGCCAACAACAAAACUUGAUAUAUUUGAAUGCAAAGGAGGAAAAUAUAGAAGUUUUUGAAGAUGGAGAAAAAAAUAGAAGGCGAUAAUGACUUGGUGGUUUUUUUUCCAAGUUCAAAGAAUAAGUUUUGCAAUUUUAAGUUUUUUUUUUCUUUUCUACAUUUUGUAAUAUUAAGAUAAAAAUGGUUGUCUUUGUAAAUUAUUAUAAUUAAUAUUAUUGAUUUUACCUUGC